rnacentral:rRNA from 1 species
AUGCUUGAACUUGAAAUAAAGCAUUGAGUCAAACUCUUCUUUGGUGUGAAGGUGGUAGCUAUGAAUAGGCAUCGACUAUCUGGGAAAGGUAGAAGAAUAGUACCUAUUAUGGGACGUAUAUUGCAUUACAGACAUAUGAUCAUUAGUCAUCAACGAGGUUAUUCUACUCCACUUCUAGAUAGAUAAAAAUCUAAAUGA